GUCUCCGUGGUCGAGUUGGUAAGACAUUCGUAUGGUAAACGGAAGGUCCCGGGUUCGGAUCCCAGUGGAGACA